rnacentral:ncRNA from 1 species
GUUAUCGAGAGUAGCCGAGGGACAGGCCCUGUGACGCUACAGCAACCUGCUUAGAGUAAGGUGCUAAUACCUGCGGCAUGCCGAAUGAUGA